rnacentral:lncRNA from 1 species
GGCUUGGUGGCGCGCAGUUCCCCCUGACUGUGCGCCCCCGCGCCUGGGCUCCUUCGCAGAGGACUCGGUAGCUGCAGCUCCCGGAGCACAGCGGGCAGAGCUGUGGGCUGCACGCGCCCCUGCUGCCCCGGGCCUGCCGCGGUGGCUCCCGCGCCCCGCGGCGACUUCCGCGCCCGCGCUUCCCUUUGUUCAAGUCCCGGAGCCGCAGCGGGGUCGGAGCCCGCGCCCUGGGCGACUGAGGCGGCCGCAGUCCGCGCCCCGGCGCCCUGGCGAUGCUGGACCAGAUCUCUGUGUCUGAAUUCGUGGCCGAGACCCUUGAGGACUACAAGGCGCCCACGGCCUCUAGUUUCACCACGCGCUCGGCCCAGUGCCGGGACACCGCGGCGGCCAUCGAGGAGGGUUUCAGGUUCUUUGCUCCCAUCCUCGGAGAGGUCAACUUCAGCUGCAGAGUCUGUGGCGGCUUCGAGCCGGGGACCCCUGCGAGCUCUCUGGCCCCGGAGUGAUGGGUCUCCUUGCGCGGACCUCUCCAACUUGUUCCGGAAGUAGCCCGGCGGGGGCAGCUGUGGCUUCUGAGCCAACAUGUAGAGCAG